GACGAACGCUGGCGGCGUGCUUAACACAUGCAAGUCGAACGCUGAAGCUUGGUGCUUGCACUGGGUGGAUGAGUGGCGAACGGGUGAGUAAUACGUGAGUAACCUGCCCUUGACUCUGGGAUAAGCCUGGGAAACUGGGUCUAAUACUGGAUACGACAUGUCACCGCAUGGUGGUGUGUGGAAAGGGGUUUACUGGUUUUGGAUGGGCUCACGGCCUAUCAGCUUGUUGGUGGGGUAAUGGCUCACCAAGGCGACGACGGGUAGCCGGCCUGAGAGGGUGACCGGCCACACUGGGCCUGAGACACGGCCCAGACUCCUACGGGAGGCAGCAGUGGGGAAUAUUGCGCAAUGGGCGGAAGCCUGAUGCAGCGACGCCCCGUGAGGGAUGACGGCCUUCGGGUUGUAAACCUCUUUCAGAACGGAAGAAGCGAAAGUGACGGUACGUGCAGAAGAAGCGACGGCUAACUACGUG
rnacentral:rRNA from 1 species